AAAGCGAGCGGCGGAUGGGUGAGUAACACGUGGGGAACCUGCCCCUAAGUCUGGGAUACCAUUUGGAAACAGGUGCUAAUACCGGAUAAUAAAGCAGAUCGCAUGAUCAGCUUUUGAAAGGCGGCGUAAGCUGUCGCUAAGGGAUGGCCCCGCGGUGCAUUAGCUAGUUGGUAAGGUAACGGCUUACCAAGGCGACGAUGCAUAGCCGAGUUGAGAGACUGAUCGGCCACAUUGGGACUGAGACACGGCCCAAACUCCUACGGGAGGCAGCAGUAGGGAAUCUUCCACAAUGGACGCAAGUCUGAUGGAGCAACGCCGCGUGAGUGAAGAAGGUUUUCGGAUCGUAAAGCUCUGUUGUUGGUGAAGAAGGAUAGAGGUAGUAACUGGCCUUUAUUUGACGGUAAUCAACCAGAAAGUCACGGCUAACUACGUGCCAGCAGCCGCGGUAAUACGUAGGUGGCAAGCGUUGUCCGGAUUUAUUGGGCGUAAAGCGAGCGCAGGCGGAAAAAUAAGUCUAAUGUGAAAGCCCUCGGCUUAACCGAGGAACUGCAUCGGAAACUGUUUUUCUUGAGUGCAGAAGAGGAGAGUGGAACUCCAUGUGUAGCGGUGGAAUGCGUAGAUAUAUGGAAGAACACCAGUGGCGAAGGCGGCUCUCUGGUCUGCAACUGACGCUGAGGCUCGAAAGCAUGGGUAGCGAACAGGAUUAGAUACCCUGGUAGUCCAUGCCGUAAACGAUGAGUGCUAAGUGUUGGGAGGUUUCCGCCUCUCAGUGCUGCAGCUAACGCAUUAAGCACUCCGCCUGGGGAGUACGACCGCAAGGUUGAAACUCAAAGGAAUUGACGGGGGCCCGCACAAGCGGUGGA
rnacentral:rRNA from 1 species